rnacentral:rRNA from 1 species
GACGAACGCUGGCGGCGUGCCUAAUACAUGCAAGUAGAACGCUGAAGAGAGGAGCUUGCUCUUCUUGGAUGAGUUGCGAACGGGUGAGUAACGCGUAGGUAACCUGCCUUGUAGCGGGGGAUAACUAUUGGAAACGAUAGCUAAUACCGCAUAACAAUGGAUGACUCAUGUCAUUUAUUUGAAAGGGGCAAAUGCUCCACUACAAGAUGGACCUGCGUUGUAUUAGCUAGUAGGUGAGGUAACGGCUCACCUAGGCGACGAUACGUAGCCGACCUGAGAGGGUGAUCGGCCACACUGGGACUGAGACACGGCCCAGACUCCUACGGGAGGCAGCAGUAGGGAAUCUUCGGCAAUGGGGGCAACCCUGACCGAGCAACGCCGCGUGAGUGAAGAAGGUUUUCGGAUCGUAAAGCUCUGUUGUAAGUCAAGAACGAGUGUGAGAGUGGAAAGUUCACACUGUGACGGUAGCUUACCAGAAAGGGACGGCUAACUACGUGCCAGCAGCCGCGGUAAUACGUAGGUCCCGAGCGUUGUCCGGAUUUAUUGGGCGUAAAGCGAGCGCAGGCGGUUUGAUAAGUCUGAAGUUAAAGGCUGUGGCUCAACCAUAGUUCGCUUUGGAAACUGUCAAACUUGAGUGCAGAAGGGGAGAGUGGAAUUCCAUGUGUAGCGGUGAAAUGCGUAGAUAUAUGGAGGAACACCGGUGGCGAAAGCGGCUCUCUGGUCUGUAACUGACGCUGAGGCUCGAAAGCGUGGGGAGCGAACAGG